CCCUUAGAGUUUGAUCCUGGCUCAGAACGAACGCUGGCGGCGUGGAUAAGACAUGCAAGUCGAACGAGAGAAUUGCUAGCUUGCUAAUAAUUCUCUAGUGGCGCACGGGUGAGUAACACGUGAGUAACCUGCCCCCAAGAGUGGGAUAGCCCCGGGAAACUGGGAUUAAUACCGCAUAAAAUCGCAAGAUUAAAGCAGCAAUGCGCUUGGGGAUGGGCUCGCGUCCUAUUAGUUAGUUGGUGAGGUAACGGCUCACCAAGGCGAUGACGGGUAGCCGGUCUGAGAGGAUGUCCGGCCACACUGGAACUGAGACACGGUCCAGACACCUACGGGUGGCAGCAGUCGAGAAUCAUUCACAAUGGGGGAAACCCUGAUGGUGCGACGCCGCGUGGGGGAAUGAAGGUCUUCGGAUUGUAAACCCCUG
rnacentral:rRNA from 1 species